rnacentral:rRNA from 1 species
UAACCUGCCUGGUAGCGGGGGAUAACUAUUGGAAACGAUAGCUAAUACCGCAUAAUAGCAGUUAUUGCAUGAUAACUGUUUGAAAGGUGCAAAUGCAUCACUACCAGAUGGACCUGCGUUGCAUUAGCUAGUUGGUGGGGUAACGGCUCACCAAGGCGACGAUACAUAGCCGACCUGAGAGGGUGAUCGGCCACACUGGGACUGAGACACGGCCCAG